rnacentral:rRNA from 1 species
GGCGUGGUUAGCAGAACGAGUUGGAAAGCUCAGCCAGAGACUGUGAUAGCCAGGUAUGCGAAAACGACGCUGACCUUAUUCUGUAUUCUCGAGUAGGUCGGGGCACGAGAAACCCUGAUUGAAUCCGGCUGGACCACCAGCCAAGGCUAAAUAUAGUAUAUGAUCGAUAGUGAACUAGUACGGUGACGGAAAGGUGAAAAGAACCCCGGGAGGGGAGUGAAAUAGAACCUGAAAUUUUGUGCCUACAAGGAGUCGGAGCCCAGCACCUUUGAAAUCGAGUGGUACAAUGUAGACAGAUGUUCUACGUGUACGUUUUGCAAAGUGAUCGGGAAUCAGAUCAAAUUUACUUCGGUCAGACCAGUGACUUAAGACGACGUCUCUCGGAGCAUAAUUCCGGUAAGGAUACUUAUACCAAGAUAUAUGCGCCAUGGAAGGUUGUCUAUUAUGAAGCCUAUUUAUCACGUAAGCUGGCAUUAGCCCGUGAGAGGCAGUUGAAAGCUUAUGGACAAGCUAGGACUGCUCUGAAGAAGAGACUAAAUUUGAUCUGAUACUCGAUUUCAAAGGUGCUGGGUGACGGCGUGCUUUUUGUAGAACGAUCCAGCGAGUUAAUUUUUACGGCGAGGUUAAGUCAGAUGAUGAAGCCAUAGUGAAAGCGAGCAUUAACAGUGCGAUUUAGUCGUAAGGAUUAGACCCGAAACCGGGUGACCUAACCAUGAGCAGGUUGAAGCAACCUUAAUCGGUUGUGGAGGACCGAACCAGUGUAUAUUGCAAAAUGCUUGGAUGACUUGUGGUUAGCGGUGAAAUGCCAAUCGAACUUGGAGAUAGCUGGUUCUCCGCGAAAUAGUUAUAGGACUAGCGUCGUGUGAUAGCUUACGGGGGUAGAGCUCUGUCAAGAGAUAGGGGGAGCAAUCCUACCUACUCUUAAUAAACUACGAAUACCGUAUGUCUGUAUCACGGCAGUUAGAACGUCGGUGCUAAGAUCGGCGCUCAAAAGGGAAACAGCCCAGACCAUCAUCUAAGGUCCCCAAAUUUACGCUAAGUGGGAAACAAGGUGGAAUUUCUUAAACAGCUAGGAUGUUGGCUUAGAAGCAGCCAUUCAUUUAAAGAGUGCGUAACAGCUCACUAGUCAAGAGAUUUUGCGUGGAAAAUGUAACGGGGCUAAAGUGUUAAACCGAAGACAUGGACUUCAUAUUUUUAUGGAGUGGUAGAGGAGCGUUGAUAUCGCAGCGAAGUCAGACUGGAAAGUCUGGUGGAGCGUUAUCAAGUGAGAAUGCUGGAAUCAGUAACCUUAAGGCAGGUGAGAAUCCUGCCGGUCGUAAGAGCAAGGUUUCCAGGGCUACAGUAAUUGUCCCUGGGUUAGUCGGUCCUAAGCCGAGGCGUAUCAGCGUAGGCGAUGGACAACAGGUUAAUAUUCCUGUACAGGUAGUAGUUGUUAACAGUUCACGGUGAGUGACCAGAGCGGAUUAAUGGUUUAUCCGUCCAAGUCUUUAGGGAACUAAAGAUGAGUGAAAGGUAAUCUUCGGAUUAUUAAUUCCGGGUGAAGCGCUGGCUAGAAAAGCUGGUUGACUUAUGCUGCUGCCUACCGUACCGCAAACCAACACCGGUGCUCGGGUCGAGUAGACCAAGACCUACGUGAGAACCUUCGCUAAGGAACUCGGCAAAAAAGCGUCCGUAACUUCGGAAUAAGGACUGCCCUCUCAUUAAGAUGAGGAUUUGCUAGAAACUCAGCAGAAGAUUCAGAUUAUGUUACAUAUUUACUAUAAAUUUGUUUUUUUCGAGACCAUAAGCACGGCCGAACGGACUUGAGUGUGUCGAGAAAAACAACAAAUUUUAGUUAUUUACCUUUAACUGAAUUUUUUCGUUGAGACAGAACACAAAUCAGGAUUUGUUUUAACAAAUUCGUGUCUUUUCUAGUAGUCUAAUCGUCAUUUUGAUGAGAGGGCCGCAGCUAAAGAGCCCACGGAACUGUUUACCAAAAACAUAGGUCUCUGCUAACGCGAAAGCGGAUGUAUAGGGGCUGACUCCUGCCCGGUGUCGGAAGGUUAAGGGGAGAGCUUUACGGUUCGAACUGAAGCCCCGAUGAACGGCGGCGAUAACUAUGAUCGUCCUAAGGUAGCGAAAUUCCUUGUCUGGUAAGUUCAGACCCGCACGAAUGGAGUAAUCAUGUGGGCACUGUCUCGGCGAAGGCCACGGUGAACGUGCAUUGGCGGUAAAGAUGCCGUCUGAUCAUGCCAGGACGAGAAGACCCCAUGGAGCUUUACUACAACUUUGCAUUGAUUAUUGGGACAUUUUGUGUAGAAUAGGUGGAAGACUUUGAAGCAGAUACGCUAGUAUUUGUGGAGUCGAAAUGUGAAAUACCACCCUGAAUGUUUUAGUAAUCUCACUUUUGACCUGAUCGGCCAAAAGGACCGUGCAUGGCGGGUAGUUUAACUGGGGCGGUUGCCUCCUAAAGAGUAGCGGAGGCGUUCA